UACGGAGGGUGCGAGCGUUGUCCGGAAUCACUGGGCGUAAAGGGCGCGUAGGCGGCGCGGCAAGUCCAUGGUGAAAGCUCGUGGCUCAACUGCGAGUCGGCCAAGGAUACUGCUGCGCUCGAGCACUGUAGAGGCAGGUGGAAUUCCGGGUGUAGCGGUGGAAUGCGUAGAGAUCCGGAAGAACACCGAUGGCGAAGGCAGCUCGCUGGGACGGUACUGACGCUGAGGCGCGAAAGCGUGGGGAGCGAACAGG
rnacentral:rRNA from 1 species